UUCAGGGGCAGGCAAGGUGGCUCGUCUCUCUUUUCAGUCCAAUUUGCGAAAAAGCCCCGACUUCGAGGAGAGCGCUCGCACAAUCGUGGCUUUUUCCCCCCGCACUAGGGUUGGGUCAGCCGCCCCGAGACAGCCCCGGGAUUCGCUGCGGCCGGGGAAGCUCCCUCCUGCAGGAUCUGUGGUCGGGGUUCGGUUAUUGAUCGUCGAGAGCCCAGACGCUUGUGAGGCGCCGCGCAGACCCCGCAACGUCGAUGGACCCUUUUGUCCUGCGAUAUUGCUGCACUGCUCCCAUCUCUGGAAAGCCGGUCGCUGCAGUGACCCCAAGAGAGGGACGGGGUGCAGUGUGCAAGUGCAGUGUGUCAGAAGAGGGGUGAAACCUGGCUCGCUAGUGCCGAUCCUUUCCCCCCCUUUCUCCUACAGUGUGUUCCUUCUUCGGAGCUGUCCUCCUCCUCAGCUCCCUUCUCGCUCUUCCUUUCUCCCAGCGUGGCCAGAGGCUGCAAUCCUGAAAAGAAUCGCCCAACUUUAAUAGAAUGAUUCAUAUGUUUCAAGUUGAGUGUGCGGGAAAAUAUUUGAGGCUGUGGCGCCUGUUUAGGUUAUUUUUGGCCCAGCUGUGUAUCAGAUGCACAAUCUUUUACAAAGCCUUAUCCCUGCAGGCCCGAUUCUGUGAUUGUUUUAAUACCGAUGAAAACACUUUUUUGAAAAAUAUAAAUAAAUAAAUAAUUUGCCUGUCCUGUGCAAUGAAACUGA